CCCGGCUGUCACUUCCUAACGCUUAGAAACAAUAAAUGCGGAAUUAUUCCAACAAGACUUCAGGGCUGCUGGAUGAGCCGCCUCUUGGCAUAGCAUAGCUGAAGGUGGGAGGCUGCACAAGCCCUGUUUUCUCCCCAUCACCCAAGAAGGUCCUGGCUUGACUCUCCCGUCUACAUCACUGGCUGCCCUGGACAGCUCUCCACACGAAGCCAGCUGCUACCGGGAAUCGUACCUCCAUGUCCCACCUCCCUGAAGUCUUUUUCUUUUUUGGUCACGUUAUAAAUGGGGUGACAGACGCUCUGGGAGACCCUGAUGUCCACUGGGUCUCCAUCCUUUGAGAUCUGGCUAAGACUGCCUAGUUUUCCUGAGCCGGUGCUCAGCGGUAUUCUCAUCCACUCUCACAGUCUCUGUGAGUCCUCAUAGGGGCUCUGGAACUGGGGAUCAUCUCUGGUGUUAUGUUUGCCUCGUACUGGUGCCGAUGUGAAAUACCCCAAACCUACACACAUGAGGCAAGUUGUGUACAUAGGAGAAUUUCCUGAAGCCAGGGGCAGAGGAGGGGCAGCAGAGAUGCGGUUCCAUCCCUGCCCUGUGAAAAGCUGCAGACUGAAUGUUGGCCUCCGUUUUUCUGAAAAGCCUUUGCAGCAGGAUUUCUCAGCCUUCUCCAGUGCCCCUGCCUCCCCUCACCCCAUCUGAGCUGUCCUCCGCUCUUCUCUUUACCUACAUACUGCUCUGUGGAGCUUGCUUCCUGGUUGCUUUGCUGUGUGCCAGCCCAGACCCUCAGCGUCUCAUCGCCACACCGCAAAACGUCUCAUCUUAUCACCAGAUAGCAGAGAAACGCAUUUCCCCAAACAACCAGUUCCUUCUCGAGAGGACUUCUGGAAGCAGUGGCUAAGAUGCCAAAGUUUUUAUUCUGUUGUGAACGGAACGAACAGGUGUCUCUGGCAGGUUUAGUCCUGGUUGUGGGUAGCCCAGCAGGGAUCUCUGUUCACUUUGUACUGUGUCUUCUUGUUUAGAUGCUCACUUUAGGACGAUGCCCUGCAGGCAGCUCCUGCACUUCCUGCAGAAGAACACCAUCAUCGCCGCAGUCUCAGGGGUGGCUGUCCUCGCAGCUGCCGUGCUGUUGCUGCUCGGGUUGGCCUCAUACAUCAGGAGGAAACAGCCAUCAUCUCCUCUGGCAAAGACGACAUACAAUAUUUUUAUAAUGAAUGGAAAGGCAUGGUGGCAAAAUUCUGAAGAAAAGAAUUUCACAAAAUAUGCAAAAAAACAGACACAGUUGAAGUGCAGUUCCUGUGUCUAAGCCAGGUCGCGGGGCCGUCAAGCCAGCACUUGAAACCACGAUGCGAGGACGUUCUCCAUGUGCUCACCACAGGGAAGCAAGUCCACUUCUGCCUGGGAGAUGCAUUCUACUAAAGCGUCUGCUUCCCGUCCCGAUCUCGAAUGGACCGAGAAAAACUGCUUUACUACAGGACACUUGUGGCAAAAUGGCACCGAUGGCCGGCACCAGCGAACCUGACGGACGAUGGACUUAUCAUUUAAUAAAGCGUUGAUUCAUGUAUUCA